GACGGUCCCGCACAAGCAGCGGAGCGUGUGGUUUAAUUCGUUGCUACACGAAGAACCUUACCUGGGUUUGACAUAGCAGUGGUAGGGAAGAGAAAUCGGACCGACCUUCGGGGAGCUGUUACAGGUGUUGCAUGGCUGUCGUCAGCUCGUGUCGUGAGAUGUUCGGUUAAGUCCGCUAACGAGCGCAACCCGCGUUGUGUGUUAUAUGUGUCACACAAUACCGCCGGUAUUAAGCCGGAGGAAGGUGCGGAUGACGUCAAGUCAGCAUGACCUUUAUAUCCAGGGCUACACACACGCUACAAUGGACAGUACAACAGGUUGCCAAGCCGCGAGGCGGAGCCAAUCCUCUAAAGCUGUCCUCAGUUCAGAUUGCAGGCUGCAACUCGCCUGCAUGAAGUUGGAGUCGCUAGUAACCGCAGGUCAGCUAUACUGCGGUGAAUACGUUCCCGGGUCUU
rnacentral:rRNA from 1 species